AUAUUAAUGAUGAUUAUCUGUCACUGAAUGCACAAAUUUAAGCUAUUUUUGUGAAAAUUAGUGCUCAAAAGAUGUCGCAUUUGCGAGGCAUUUGUCUGAAAAGAUU